GAGGACUGGGAGGAGUCCUAUUUGUUCUACAGUUUGGAACUAAUUAGGUAUUUGUAUACCUGUUUGUGUGUUUGUUCCUCUAAUUGGUGAUUAGUGUUUUUUGUACAUACACAAAAGCAGCUUGAUUAAGAUAAAGUUGUUUUGGUGCUUAGUGUCCCUUUAAGGCCCAUGACCGGAUAGGUGUCAAAACAAUACUAAUGAAC